GACGAACGCUGGCGGCGUGCUUAACACAUGCAAGUCGAACGGUGACGAGGAGCUUGCUCCUCUGAUCAGUGGCGAACGGGUGAGUAACACGUGAGCAACCUGCCCCAGACUCUGGGAUAACAGUUGGAAACAGCUGCUAAUACCGGAUACGAGACGGAGAGGCAUCUCUACCGUCUGGAAAGUUUUUCGGUCUGGGAUGGACUCGCGGCCUAUCAGCUAGUUGGUGAGGUAAUGGCUCACCAAGGCGACGACGGGUAGCGGGACUGAGAGGUUGGCCCGCCACAUCGGGACUGAGACACUGCCCGGACCUCCACGGAGGGCUGCAGUAACGAAUCUUGGGCAAUGGGCGAAAGCCUGACCCAGCGACGCCGCGUGCAGGAGGAAGCCCCUCGGGGUGUAAACUGCUGUCAGGGGUUAGAAAGCCGAAAGGUUGAUCAGCCCCAGAGGAAGUCACGGCUAACUUCGUGCCAGCAGCCGCGGUAAUG
rnacentral:rRNA from 1 species